AUGACCACCAUUCGAGUGUUACUUUCCUUGGCUGCCUCUUAUGGUCUUAUCAUUCAUCAAAUGGAUGUAAAGACAGCUUUUCUCAAUGGAGAGUUGGAAGAGGAGAUCUAUAUGGAUCAGCCUGACGGGUUUGUGGUAAAGGGUGAAGAGAGAAAGGUGUGCAAGUUGUUAAAAUCUUUGUAUGGUCUGAAACAGGCACCUAAGCAAUGGCAUGAGAAGUUUGAAAGAACUCUGACUUCUGCAGGAUUUGUCAUUAACGAGGCUGAUAGGUGUGUUUACUAUCGCCAUGGUGGGGGCAAUAGUGUCAUAUUAUGUUUGUAUGUGGACGACAUACUGAUCUUUGGUACAAACAUUAAUGCAAUUAAUGAGGUCAAGUCUUUUCUAUCGAAAAGUUUUGACAUGAAAGAUCUGGGAGAAGCCGAUGUAAUUCUAAACAUCAAACUUAUUCAGGAUAAGAGUGGGAUUACAUUAACGCAAUCUCACUAUGUUGAGAAGGUCUUGAACCGAUUCGGUUUUAUGGAUAGCAAGCCUUCUCCAACACCUUAUGAUCCCAGCGUGACACUCAGAAAGAACAAGAAAGAAACGAGAGAUCAAUUAAGAUACUCUCAAAUUGUCGGUUCACUCAUGUACUUAGCUAGCGCUACAAGACCAGAUAUCUCUUUUGCUGUGAGCAAACUGAGUAGGUUCAUGUCCAACCCGGGUGAUGAUCAUUGGCAUGCACUAGAAAGGGUCUUGUGCUAUCUGAGAGGUACUAUGAGUUACGGAAUUACUUAUUCAGGGCAUCCUGCUGUGCUAGAAGGAUAUAGUGAUUCAAAUUGGAUCUCCGAUGUUGAUGUACUUUACGCAACAAGUGGGUAUGUAUUUACUCAUGGUGGUGGCGUAGUGUCAUGGAGGUCUUGCAAGCAAACCAUAUUGACGAGGUCAACUAUGGAAGCAGAAUUAACUGCUUUGGACACAGCUACUGUUGAGGCAGAAUGGCUGCGUGAGCUCUUGAUGGACUUGCCGGUUGUUGAAAAACCUGUACCGGCUAUUCUUAUGAAUUGUGAUAACCAAACGGUUCUCGCUAAAGUGAACAAUUCUAAAGAUAAUGCAAAGUCAUCAAGACACGUGAAAAGACGUUUGAAGUCUGUCAGGAAGUUGAGAAACUCCGGAGUAAUAACUGUUACGUACAUACAAACAGACAAAAACCUGGCAGAUCCCUUUACAAAGGGACUAUCACGAAAUGUGAUAGAUAUUGCAUCGAGGGAGAUGGGUAUGAGACCCAUAGAUGUUACACCAUAG
rnacentral:rRNA from 1 species